GAUGAAGAACGCAGCAAAAUGCGAUACUUGGUGUGAAUUGCAGAAUCCCGUGAACCAUCGAGUUUUUGAACGCAAGUUGCGCCCGAAGCCUUUUGGCCGAGGGCACGUCUGCCUGGGCAUCACGCAUCGCGUCGCCCCCCACAAAUUCUCCUCAGGGGAGCUUGUGUUUCGGGGGCGGAUACUGGUCUCCCGUGCUCAUGGCGCGGUUGGCCGAAAUAGGAGUCCCUUCGAUGGACGCACGAACUAGUGGUGGUCGUAAAAACCCUCGUCUUUUGUUUCGUGCCGUUAGUCGCGAGGGAAGCUCUUCAAAAACCCCAGCGCGUCGUCUCUUGACGGCGCUUCGACCGCGACCCCAGGUCAGGCGGGACUACCCGCUGAGUUUAAGCAUAUCAAUAAGCGGAGGA
rnacentral:misc_RNA from 1 species